GAUGUACUCAUUUCGUCCAACAAAAGAUUUCUCAAGUUUGUUAAAAUUUGAACAUAUUUAGACAUGACUUAGUGUAUAAAUGCAUUCAAAUUUAGUCAAAGUUGAGACAUCUUUUAUUGGACGGAGGAAUAUGCA
rnacentral:pre_miRNA from 1 species